UGGGGAAUUUUGGACAAUGGGCGCAAGCCUGAUCCAGCCAUGCCGCGUGCGGGAAGAAGGCCUUCGGGUUGUAAACCGCUUUUGUCAGGGAAGAAAUCUUCUGAGUUAAUACCUCGGGAGGAUGACGGUACCUGAAGAAUAAGCACCGGCUAACUACGUGCCAGCAGCCGCGGUAAUACGUAGGGUGCAAGCGUUAAUCGGAAUUACUGGGCGUAAAGCGUGCGCAGGCGGUUUUGUAAGACAGAGGUGAAAUCCCCGGGCUCAACCUGGGAACUGCCUUUGUGACUGCAAGGCUUGAGUGCGGCAGAGGGGGAUGGAAUUCCGCGUGUAGCAGUGAAAUGCGUAGAUAUGCGGAGGAACACCGAUGGCGAAGGCAAUCCCCUGGGCCUGCACUGACGCUCAUGCACGAAAGCGUGGGGAGCAAACAGGAUUAGAUAGCCCUGGUAGUCCACGCCCUAAAACGAUGUCAACUGGUUGUUGGGAAGGUUCCUUCUCAGUAACGUAGCUAACGCGUGAAGUUGACCGCCUGGGGAGUACGGCCGCAAGGUUGAAACUC
rnacentral:rRNA from 1 species